GCUAAGUUUGAUGGCGACCGGCGCACGGGUGAGUAACACGUAUCCAACCUGCCGAUGACUCGGGGAUAGCCUUUCGAAAGAAAGAUUAAUACCCGAUGGCAUAGUUCUUCCGCAUGGUAGAACUAUUAAAGAAUUUCGGUUAUCGAUGGGGAUGCGUUCCAUUAGUUUGUUGGCGGGGUAACGGCCCACCAAGACUACGAUGGAUAGGGGUUCUGAGAGGAAGGUCCCCCACAUUGGAACUGAGACACGGUCCAAACUCCUACGGGAGGCAGCAUG
rnacentral:rRNA from 1 species